GCCAUGAUAGCUCAGUUGGGAGAGCGUAUGACUGAAGAUCAUAAGGUCGCCGGUUCGAUCCCGGCUCGUGGCA